AACAGGAUUAGAUACCCUGGUAGUCCACGCCGUAAACGAUGUCGACUUGGAGGUUGUUCCCUUGAGGAGUGGCUUCCGGAGCUAACGCGUUAAGUCGACCGCCUGGGGAGUACGGCCGCAAGGUUAAAACUCAAAUGAAUUGACGGGGGCCCGCACAAGCGGUGGAGCAUGUGGUUUAAUUCGAUGCAACGCGAAGAACCUUACCUACUCUUGACAUCCAGCGAACUUAGCAGAGAUGCUUUGGUGCCUUCGGGAACGCUGAGACAGGUGCUGCAUGGCUGUCGUCAGCUCGUGUUGUGAAAUGUUGGGUUAAGUCCCGCAACGAGCGCAACCCUUAUCCUUUGUUGCCAGCGAUUCGGUCGGGAACUCAAAGGAGACUGCCGGUGAUAAACCGAAGGAAGGUGGGGAUGACGUCAAGUCAUCAUGGCCCUUACGAGUAGGGCUACACACGUGCUACAAUGGCGCAUACAAAGAGAAGCGACCUCGCGAGAGCAAGCGGACCUCACAAAGUGCGUCGUAGUCCGGAUCGGAGUCUGCAACUCGACUCCGUGAAGUCGGAAUCGCUAGUAAUCGUGGAUCAGAAUGCCACGGUGAAUACGUUCCCGGGCCUUGUACACACCGCCCGUCACACCAUGGGAGUGGGUUGCAAAAGAAGUAGGUAGCUUAACCUUCGGGAGGGCGCUUACCACUUUGUGAUUCAUGACUGGGGUGAAGUCGUAACAAGGUAAGCCGU
rnacentral:rRNA from 1 species